UUUAAUCUAAUUGAUUAUUUGAAAAAUAAUAUCAAAACAAAAAUAAUAUAUCCAUUAAUAUGACGCAUAAUUGUGCUCAUUUCAACUCUUCAAUUUUUUUAAUUGUGGCCAGAUGAAAGUGAAGAAAAGUAUGAUAGGAGGGGGAAAAGUGGAUAAACUGAGUACAUAUGUAACUAAAUUUAACAUAAAAUGUUAAAGUAAAUCAACUGCUAGUUGCAAACAGAAGAAACGAGAGCAAUGUACAAGGACGAAGCAAACAAGACAAUGCACAAUGUUGGCAAUUUAAGGUAUAUGUUCAGCAUAACAAUAACUAGUUUACUUUUAACUUCUGUUGUUUUCAAGUCACCAUAUUUUGUUUAUUCAACCUUAGACACACAACAGAAAAAAGGUUUGAUAAGUUCUAAGUUUAACAUACCAAACAAGAAACGACGUAGAUUAGCAGUACUUAAUAACAAAACGGCAAUGCUGAAAGAUAACACGCGCUUAAUUGUCACACACUUCUAGUUCUUAACAUUUGGAGCAGCUGCACCGAGGAAGCUUACCAUAGUCAUUCAGAUGUCAGCUUUGCUUUCCUCCCUCUCUCUUCCUACUAUUUCACUGCAUGAGCAAAAGGCAGAAAUAUCAAACACAAUGAAUCUCCUGAUACUAGUAGAAAUGCAGUUCACUGCUCUUGCGCAUAUGGAUCAUUAACUUAUAUCUAAAGGGUGUAAAUUCAGUUGUCACAAAAGGGUAUAAUUAACUUUUGAAACAAUCGUUUCAAAGGGAGUUCAAGACUUCAAGAGGGUGUCCUCAAAUAUAUAUAUGCAUGCAUGUAUAUAUUACUGUCUCUUUGGUCCUCUUCUACAGGCAGUUACUUCCAGAAACUGCAGUUCUAAUUUAUACAUAGCCAAGAAUAUAUGCAACUAAGGUCAAACACUUAUACCAUAACUGCAGAAUCAUUUGACAAAGGAUUUUCUAUUGGGAAAUGAUUGGCAUCAAUUAUUCGCACAGGAUGAUGAUUCAGGGCAUGGGAUCAAAUUUUCCAAGAGAUUAGGACUGAAAUGAUUCAAGGACUGGUUCCUGGUAUUAUCUAUGUCAUUGCUUCAACAGUUCAGGUAAGCACCAAGGAGCAAAGUAGCCGGAGUAAACUAUAACAUGGAAAAAAGUAUUCCUCCUCCUCAACAAAAAAGAACCCAUUCCUUCCAAUAUCAGGUACAGGGGCUUUAUGAUUCCAGAAGAGUUAAAACUGUCCAUUUACAAAUUAAUUAAUGAAUGAGUGAAUGAAACAUGUAGCACUUUUUUAGACUGGCUGUGAGUUAAAAAGCCCCAUCAGUUCCAAUAUAUCAAACGAUAAUCCCAUUCAUUUGGUCCCUGUGAAGUGCGGUUGGGAGCUCCUCAUCAUGCUUAUAAGGCUUUUGUGUCUUUCUUAAUACAAUUUAACAAAUUACCCAUAAAAACAUAUACAUAUUCAAUGUCAGAUUUAUAAUGAAUUAGUGGUUAAGAAACCAACCGGAGCAUUUCAGUGAGAGUGGCAGCGGUAUUCAACUCGCCGGCUUCCCUUGCUUUCAGUAUGCGGAACAUAAGAGCAAGUUUAACCUGUCAACAACCCAUCACAUGGUUAAAGCUGCCCUAAGAUCUAAGGAAGAGCCUUGCUAAUGAAACCCUUCCCACAAUUUGUAAUAUACUAAAGAAAAAGGAGCAAGUUUAACCUGAGUUCUGGCACUUUGCUGGAUUAUGAGCCUAGUUUCCCUCUUCAAUUCCUCGCACUCGGAUUCGAUGAUUCCGAAUUUUUCUUUAACUUGCCUUUGCCCUUCCCUGAUAUUCUUUUGUUCCUCGCUUAUUUCUUCCAUUUCAGAUUUCAAUCUUUUGAAGCUUUCCUCCAUGUUCUUCAUCCCUUUCCUCCCCUGAUCCCCAUAUCAAUUGUAAAUUAGCAAGAUAUGGCAACGAAAAUUAGCAAAAAGAGCAACCGAAAAAGAUUAUAAUUACAUGCUUGGCUUUGGAUUUGAGACGCCUCUUGCUUAGCGCAGAAGCCUGAAGACGGCUACGUAAAGAGAAUGGAGCCAUAGUUUCAGAGGCAAAAGUUUUUCCUCCUUAAAACCUUAAAACUUAAUAUAUGCAAAUAUUUCCUCCACCAUAUAUAAUCGAAGACAAAUUUGUUUCCUCCUCUGUCGAUAACGCACGAUAUUGGUCGAUAAGCGGACGCAAUCGCGCGUUUUACCAUUAUUAGUAGAAAAAAGGAACAUGGCCCCACAUGCUAAAGUAAGCUCGCUCGCUCGCUCGCGCGAUAUACAUCCAUUAGCGCGAUAAUGGAUACUACAUCUAAUAAUUUAUUUUUUUAUUAUACUUUUUAUUUUUAUUAUACUUUUUAGUAACAUUAAUAAUUUAUUUAAUACUUUUUUUAAAUUUUUAAAUAUUAAAAAAUUAAUUGUUGAUGUGCCAUCUGUACAGACCCAAUUUUACCCGGGCCUAGUACCAAAAAUAUUAACCCAAUCCGGCCCAAAUCAGAAAACAAAAACAAUUAACCACUACCCAAACAGACCCAAAAACAAGCCCAAACUAACCCACAGCCCAAAACCUAAAAAACCCAAUACCCAUUUUCAGAAAAAAAACAAAAGAAAACCCCAGCCCCCUAACCCUAGCCGCCGCACCUAGCCCACUUGCCCUGCCACCGCCACUUCUGACCAGCACCGCCACGGUCACGUCGCCUCACCCACCUGCACCUACAGCACCUGCAAAACAAAGACCAAACACGCAACAACCAGGGCAAAAAGAAGAAACAACAGAGAAAUGAAAAAAAAGAGAAGAAAACGAUUGUAAUACUCGGCUAUAAAGGCCAUUUUUUUGAUUUCUUUGCUCUCUCUUCUCCCUUUUUAUGAAUACUAAGAAAUAAAAAGCAGAAACCAAGGUGAUUUCCUGGUUUUUUCUGAUUUCAAUCUUUCCUUUUUUUUUUUUUUAUCACUGUUUUUGUUCUUUAUUUUUAUUUAACGAAAAUAUAAAGAGAAAAGAGGAAAACUCACCGGGAUAGGGCUUCGAACGCCGAGCUAGCACUUCGUUGGCCGUCGGAGGCGGUGACGGUGUGGCGAGCGCUAUGGCGGCGCCAUGGCAACUCAAAGGCCGAACAUUUGAAGAGGGGGGGAAGAAAGCUUUUUUUAAAGGUGGCUGCUGAAAUGUUUUUUUUUUGAAGCAAAUCAGGUUUAAAUACCCAGGAUAAAACGGCGUCGUUUGGGCUUAGGGUUCAGAGACCAAAAACGGCGUCGUUUUGGUCUCUGACCCGCGUGGUGACCCGACCCUGGGGGAGGAUCCGUGUGUUUUUUAAAUGGGAUAUUUCGCGAGCUGUCCCUCUGAUUUUUCGGCGCAUUACAAUUUGGUCCUAUUUCGUUAUUUCCUUUUAUUUUGAUUUAGCCCUAACAUUUUACUUUCUGUUUCAUUUUAGUCCAUAGCAGCGCAGCGUUUUGAAUACUUGGUUUAUUUACCAUUUUGGUCCCCCCUUUUUUUGCGCGUGUCACAAUUUAGUCUUUUUAUUCUUUUUUUAUUUCGAAUUCGCCCCCUUUUUUGUGUUUUAUUUUGAUUUAGUCCCUUUUUUAGCAAUUUUAUUAUUUUAUUCAUUAUUUUAAUGUUAUUAUCAUUUAUUAUUAUUAUUAUUAUUAUUAGUUUUAUUUCCCUUUCAUUUAGUCGCUACAAAUUUAUUAAUACAUUAACUAGUUUUUAUUAUUAUUUUAGCUUUACUUUAAUUUCAUAUGCAUAUAUAUACAUACUUACAUACUCUUAUUAAUAUAUGCAAAUAUUUCCUCCUUCACCAUAUAUAAUCGAAGACAAAUUUAUUUCCUCCUCUGUCGAUAACGCACGAUAUUGGUCGAUAAGCGGACGCAAUCGCGCGUUUUACCAUUAUUAGUAGAAAAAAGGAAAAUGGCCCCACAUGCUUAAGUAAGCUCGCUCGCUAGCUCGCGCGAUAUACAUCCAUUAGCGCGAUAAUGGAUACUACAUCUAAUAAUUUAUUUUUUUAUUAUACUUCUUAUUUUUAUUAUACUUUUUAGUAACAUUAAUAAUUUAUUUAAUACUUUUUUUCAAUUUUUAAAUAUUAAAAAAUUAAUUGUUGAUGUGCCAUCUACUAAAAAAAAUCCCAAAACGUUAGGCCAACGCUAUUGAACAAUGUUUACCUGUCAAAUCAUCAUUAAAAAUACUGUUAACUUUUUGUAAAUGUUGUGCGCGCGAGUUCAUUUUCCCUUCGUAAGCUCUCGUGCGAUGUUUAAAAUUUUUUUAUAUGUGUCACCAAAUUAAGUUUCUUUCCUUUGAGGAAAUUAAGGUAUGACGGACAUAAAAUUAAAAUAUAUUUAUUAUGUUUUAUUUAGUUAUUAAUAUAAUAAUAUGAUAGAAAGUUUAUUUAUUAUUAAGUUUAUUCAUUAAAAUAUAUGUUUUUUAUCUCUUUUAGCCCUUGAGUCUACAUUGUUAAAUCACCAAUGAUAGAAAAGUUAACGUUUGUUAACUUUACUGAUGUGAUCACGCCAAUAAUAAAUUAAUUUUUUUUAAAUUUAGAAUAUUUUUUAUUUUUUAUUUUUAUUAUACUUUUUAGUAACAUUAAUAAUUUAUUUUAUAAUUUUUAUUUUUUUUAUUUUUUUAAUUUUUAAAUAUUAAAAAAUUAAUUAUUGAUGUGCCAUCUAUGUGGCAGUCCACAUGUAUGCCACGUCAAUAAAGUUAACAAAUGUUAACUUUUCAAUCCAUUUUACGGAUGAUUUAACAAACAGUACAAUUUCAAGGGCUAGAUGAGGCGAAAAUUUAAAUAAAAUGCUAGAAUGACACCUUUUUUUUAUAUAAAAUUGGAGAGCCAAACAAGUCAUUAUGCCUAAAAAAUAAAAGCUUUUCAAAAUAAGAAAAAAUAUUCUUCUUUUUCCCAAAAGCAAGUCACUUGUGUGGCUAAAAAUUAGUUUAUUACUAACUCAUAUAUUAAAACAUGAUGAAAAAUAAUACUAUUACCAAACGUAGCAUUAAGGUAUGCCGAUAUAGGGAAUCAACAAGGAAGAGUUGGGGGUAGAAGGUGGAGGUUAUUGGAGGGUCAAUUCACCUAUGGCAGGCAUGGAGCCAGAAUAGGGAAUUAAGGGACAAUGAGAAAAGAGGAAGAAGGAAAGGGAAGGGUGAUGCUAGGGUUUUCUUGGAAAGAAAGAAGGACCCUUAGUGUAACAGCCUAAUUUUCAGUAGUGUCAGAAUAGUGAUUUGAGAUCACUAAAUCUGAUGAAAACGUUAGAAAAAUUUAUUAAUUAAUAAUUAUAAGUUCAGCGUGAUUUUAGAAAUAUUUUUGAAUUAGCGAAUUUUGUGAUUUAAAAGAAAUUAUUAGGAAAAUUGGGUAGAAAACGAGGUAUCGAGACCUCGAUAUUAUAAACUGAGCCGUAAAUAUUUUUAUAAAUAUUUACGAAGUGUCAUUAGGGUAGUAUUAAAGUUUCGUUAAGAAAUUUUAAUGUUUCGAUGGUUAAUUGAUUAAAAAGGACUAAAUUGCAACAAGGGUAAAAGUUUAAUUAUAGAUUAAAGAAAAGUUAAAAGGACUAAAUAGGUAAAUAUGCCAAGUCCCAUAAAUGAGGCGGCAUAUGCAUGACAAAAUCUGAGAUUUUUUUUGAAGUAUAUUAUUAUUAUAUUAUUAUAUUAUUAUAUUUUAAAUAAACAAAAUUGUUGACAAAUGUAUGGUGUAUAUGAUGACAUGUGGAAAAAUAAAAUACAUAUAUUAGUAAUUAUUACACAUUUACUUAUUAUUUAAGUAAAUAAUUUUAUAUUAUUAUNNNNNNNNNNNNNNNNNNNNNNNNNNNNNNNNNNNNNNNNNNNNNNNNNNNNNNNNNNNNNNNNNNNNNNNNNNNNNNNNNNNNNNNNNNNNNNNNNNNNAAAGAGAAUAGAAACAGAAUAGCAUGGACGAAACAGAGAAGGAAAGAAGGAAAGAAAGAAAAGAAAGAAAGAAAAGAGAAAAUUGAGGUUUUGAGGUUCUAAGCUCAUUUGCUAAUGUCGUGCAAGAGUUAUUGUCCGAGAAAGGAAAAGAGAAGGUGAACAAGGAGUGACUCGAGAGAAAUUUCAGUUAGUAUUAUCAUAAUUUAAAUCUAAUUAUUAUUAAUUAUUGUGUUUUAAUUAGAAUGUAUGGUAAAUAAAUAAAGUAAGAAAUUUGGUAUGAUAAUAUUUCUUUGAAUGGAGUAGAUUUCUAGUGAAUAUAAUUAUUGAGAUUAAGUACUGAUAUUGAACUGAAUGAAAUUAGAUUGAAUUGUGAUUAUAUGUGAGUAAUUGAGAUGAAUAUUGAAUUAAGAAAGUGAAAUUGAAAUGUGAUUAUUGAAUAGAAAUUGAAAUGGUUUGAAUUGAAUCAUUGAAUUGAAUUGGAAUAUUGAAAUUGGUGAUUGAUAUGGAUUUUAUUGGAAUUGAAUUGAGAAAGUGGAAAUUGAUAUGUGAGAUUGAUACUGAACUGAAUUAGUGAAUACUGGAUAUUGUUGAGUACUGAGUGAAUUAUGAAAAUACUGAAUAUUGUUAUGUAUAAUGCAUUGAAUUAUGAAAUUACUGAAGUAAUAAAUUACUAUAAUACUGUGAAACUGAUUGAAAUAAGGAAUUUAUAAUUGAUACUGAACUAAGACGAAAAUUGUACUGAAAAGUGAGUUAAAUACCCUAUUAACUAGUCGGGCUAGUCGGAUAUAGUUGGCAUGCCAUAGGAUAUGGAAAAGUACGCCGACUACUGUUACUGUUACUGAUUCGGCACUUUGUGUGUCGAAUACUGUUACUGUUACUGUUACCGUUAUCGAUUCGGCACCUUGUGUGUCGAACACUGUUACCGUUACUGAUUACUGUUACUGGUGUGUUUGGUUGGGAUCCGUGUAUCCGCCAAAGUCCGAGUCAAGUUAAUAGGGGUAAAUGAAUAAUUUUGAUAAUAUAAAUUUUAUUGAAUGAUCUUGAAUAUGAAUCAAAAUGAGAUAUUAAAUUGACAUAUGGAAAUAAAAUGUAUGAACUAGCGGUUCAAGAAAUAGAUAAUGAUAUAGUUCAUGAAAUGGUUUUGAUAGUAUGAGAUGAUGUAAAAUUAUAAGUAAAGAAAAGCAAAUUGAAAUAGCUAUUGUUGAGAAAUGAGAAGUGAAAAUAAAAAGACUUGAAAUAGUGAAAUAAUAUGAAAAUUUAAUACAAGUUAUUAAAACUUAUUUAUGGAUUUAAUGUACAAAUUGAGUGUUAAAAGAUCUUAAGUGUAAAUUGAUUAUAAAUUAUGGUAAUACCACUGAGUAUUCCCAUGCUCAGCGUACGGUUGUUUCCGUGCGCAGGUUAGUAGAAAGUCAGUGUCGCUCCAGCAUCCAAAGUAAUCCCGACUUCAGAGAAACUUUAGUGAUGUACCUUUCAUUUGAUAACGUGGCAUGUACCUAAGUAUUGUAUAUACCUAAGUGAUUUAUAGGGAUUAGUCAUUUUGAAUGUUUGUAUCUAUGAUAUUGCUAAAGGAAGAUGUGUGAGUAUGUGAUAAUGUUUGGCUUUUAAAAUGGUUAAGUAUGAAUAUGUUUGGUAAUAUGUANNNNNNNNNNNNNNNNNNNNNNNNNNNNNNNNNNNNNNNNNNNNNNNNNNNNNNNNNNNNNNNNNNNNNNNNNNNNNNNNNNNNNNNNNNNNNNNNNNNNNNNNNNNNNNNNNNNNNNNNNNNNNNNNNNNNNNNNNNNNNNNNNNNNNNNNNNNNNNNNNNNNNNNNNNNNNNNNNNNNNNNNNNNNNNNNNNNNNNNNNNNNNNNNNNNNNNNNNNNNNNNNNNNNNNNNNNNNNNNNNNNNNNNNNNNNNNNNNNNNNNNNNNNNNNNNNNNNNNNNNNNNNNNNNNNNNNNNNNNNNNNNNNNNNNNNNNNNNNNNNNNNNNNNNNNNNNNNNNNNNNNNNNNNNNNNNNNNNNNNNNNNNNNNNNNNNNNNNNNNNNNNNNNNNNNNNNNNNNNNNNNNNNNNNNNNNNNNNNNNNNNNNNNNNNNNNNNNNNNNNNNNNNNNNNNNNNNNNNNNNNNNNNNNNNNNNNNNNNNNNNNNNNNNNNNNNNNNNNNNNNNNNNNNNNNNNNNNNNNNNNNNNNNNNNNNNNNNNNNNNNNNNNNNNNNNNNNNNNNNCGUAGCUCGAGUUAUAAUUAAUUUAGUAACUGUUGCACGAUUGGACAAAUUUACUGUAAUUAGUGAAAUUAAUUUUCAAAACAAGUUUUUAUGCUUCGAAUUAGUGUGAUAAGCUAAGUAAUGCCUCGUGCUCGACUCCGGCAACGAUCUCGGGUAAGGGGUGUUACAAGUAAUUUAUAUGCUUAGAUUCCUUAUUGAGUCUAUUUUCUGUAGAAACAAGUAAUAACUUCAUAUGAAAAUCCUACAAUGAGAAAAUUUAUUUUUAGUGGCAAGAGGUCAGGACAGUCAAGUGGUGAAACAGGGGAGACUUUAACUAAUAAACUGUACUAAUUGGCUGAACCAAAAAUUCUAAAAAUUUUAUAGUAGGAAGAUAUAUGAAUCUAGUUUCAGGGAAAAUUUACGGAAUUAAAUUUUGAGUCUCGUAGCUCGAGUUAUAAUUAAUUUAGUAACUGUUGCACGAUUGGACAAAUUUGCUGUAAUUAGUGAAAUUAAUUUUCAAAACAAGUUUUUAUGCUUCGAAUUAGUGUGAUAAGCUAAGUAAUGUCUCGUGCUUGACUCCGGCAAUGGUCUCGGGUAAGGGGUGCUACACUUAGCCUUCAUGCUUCAGGAUAUAUAUACGGGAAGGUGAUCUAUCGUAAUUCGGUGUAACAAAUUAAACUAGUUUUCAUACUUAAUGAGCUCAAAUACAAGCAAUUUCAUUAUGUUUUAGUUUGUUUUUCUAUUUUAGUUUUGACUCAAUAAAAAGUCUAGAUUGAGUCAUUUUAUGACCUUAGUGGCUGAAUGAGGAUUAAUGGUGAGUUAACAUACUUAGUGAGUGUACAGGACAUCAUUCAAAGCCAAAACAGCUCAAGGUUGGUCGCUGUGUUGCUACACGAGAAGUCCAAUAUCGCAACAUAAAGAAUAGAAUACAAUAAUUCCAAAACUGCUUUUGGUGCCGCGACACACCCCUGAAGCAGAACUGUGUAAUCAUUGGUGUAAGAUACAACUCUCCAACCUUUGCUUCUGCUCUUGCUAACUUAAUCCCAGCUUUCACUUUUGUGCUUGUUGUUAUCUUCAAGUUCGUCUCUGCUGUUAUGCCAUUUGUUUUUAUAGUAUAAGGCAUAAUUAACUGUCUUUGAUCUUUGCUGCUAUGCCAAGACUUUCUCCACCAAUUCAACCGCAUUUACACCCAUCUCUUUCUACCAUGUUAACAACAUCUAACAAUUGGCUCAUAGGUGGCCUCUUCAUCGCUACUGCCUCUUUGUCACUUUUAGCAAAAAUCGUUGGUUAGGUAAUUUAAUAUGCUAUUUCAUAAUCCACGAUGAUUUGGCUACUUCAAAUUGAUACUUUCCCUACUAAAUUUGAAGGAUAUAGUUCUGAAAGGGUAUCCAUAACAGAUAGCGUUGGUUUCCUUCUAUUGCCUCUUUGGGUCCAUUCAAUCUGCAUUGAUUACUUUGAUUUUGAAAGAGACCCAAACUCUUGGAUGUUGAGUCUUGAUAUCGAGCUCAUUUCUGUGGUCUACUCAGUAAGCAAACUGCAACUCCCCAUGUUAGCUUUGUCAUUUUGGCAAAUCGAAGCUUUGUAAUUGAGACAAAUUUCGUUUCAGGCUUUAUUUGGAAAUAUGGUAACAUUCAGCGUGCAAGCAUGGUUCAUAUAGCGUAAAGGUCUCGUCUUUGUGGCCACACUAUUGCUGCCUUCUUGGGGUUCGUUUUCCUUGGGGAUGAUGGUGAAGAAGGAAUAGAGGGAAAGAAGGAUAAGGCAAUGGUGGGAGGUCUGUAAAAAAGUAAAGGGGUUUGUGAUAAGGGAAAGGAUGGUGGGAAAGGGGGAGGGGGAUGGGAGAGGGAUGUAAAAUGGCAUUUCUAUUAAGUGAAUAACAGAAAAGGAUAGCUCCGUUACAGACGUAACGAAAAAUGGUUAGUGGUAACUGUUUUAUUAUUUUUUAAUAAUUGAGUAACUGAAUUGAAACUUGAGUGACUGUUUUGCCAGCUACCCCAAAGUUAAGUGACUGUUGGUGUAAUUUACCCAUAAGAAAAACCCAAAAUGCCAGGCCAACAUUGUUGAACAACAUCCAUCUGUCAAAUUGUGUAAAAAAACUUACAGCAAUAAAUUCAUGAGGGUUAUAUGUCUAUGAAUCAAUCGAUCCAUUUUGAAGUCCCUUUUAAGAACAAUCGGAUGAAUACUGGAAAUGAUAAUCCCAUGAAUAGAGAUAAACUAGAUGAGGAAGAUAUUGAUAUACUAAAUGCUAAUGUAGUAACUGAUCUUAUUGGUGGGAUUUCAUCUAUCAAAUUCCCUGAUCGUGUUUACUCCUUUGUCGAAUGAAUUAUGCCGAAUACGGUGGCAUUCAAGUUGUUGGGGAUAGAAAAUAAGUUUCAACACCUUGUUCAACAAGACUUAUGCCAUUUGGAAGCCAUAGCAAACAAUCUAGUUGAUGGAUUUAGAAAAAUAAUAUUAUACAGUUAAGUUUAAUAUGGAGUAGGAUUAUAUAAAAAUUCUUGCUGAGGGGCCUUGGAUCAUUUUUGGCCAAUACCUUUUAGUCCAACCAUGGUCACCAGGGUUUGCAACAAGGGGGAGGUUUUCACAUAUGGCGAUCAGUCUCGAUUUGGGAAGGCCACUAAUUUUGAAAGUAAAAUAGAAAACUUUAUUCAAAGCGUGGAGUAUGAAGCUCUACGAAACAUUUGUUUUAAAUGUGUGAGAUUGGUAACUUGCAAGACUUGUACCCUAGGCUAAUUAAAAAAAGGAAGAAUCUGAAGAAGCAAUAAAUAAACAGAUGUAGGAUUUGGUACAUUUAAGAUAGGCGCAAGUGGAAGAAAAGAGUUAUGAAACAUGGAUACUAGUGGAGCAUUGUACAUAUAUUCAAAUGAGGAAUAAUUCGAUCAACGAAAUCAACCCAAAAAGGGAACAACACAUUGAACCAAGAUAAUUUGGAUGGGAGUCAUAAUUUUCAGCUACUGUCAAUUUAUGGGACUUAAAUGGGGAUAAUGAGUUGGGAGGAGAGCAUGCCAUGCGAAAUAGUCAAAAGCAAAAAUAAUCAAGUGAACCCCCGGAAGACUAUGCCUUAAAAUUUCUAAAAGUAGGCGAAGUUGGAAAAAGCUAAGAUUCAUUCUACAGGUGAACCUAUAAAAGAGUUAAAAGUGGGCAAGGAAAUUCAGUGGAGACGCGCAAACCCAACUAAGCGAAAUUAAUAAAAAGGAUGUGAAAAUCUCAACAAUUGGAUUAGACAACACAAACAAUGCUUAGCAUUUUAAGAAGAUUUCUUAGAGCACAUUAUUGCCACAAUUUAUUGGAGGUUAUGGAAGGUAAGAAAUUUGUGAAUUUUUUUCUAUGGAGAAUCAUAAUGUGGAUGAAAUUAUUGCCAAUUGUCUGGCUUGGUCCAAGCUUAUUGGUAACAAUACAUGUUCAAGUAAUGGAGGCAAGUGCAAAGUCGUUAAACAAGUUGGAUUGUUGCUAUCACACCCGUAAAUGUUGAAGGAUAAAUACAACAGUAAUUUGGGGUAUCAAAUUAUAAAACUUUCUGUGUAUGGGGGUCUUAGUGUAAUUACAUGAAUCUGAUUAACUGAGUGGUAAUUAGUUAGAUUUCAACUAUUAGUUCUACUACUUUAGAACUAAUUUUUUUAGUGGGAAAUAUUAUGAUUAAGUGUAUUAAUAGUAUUGGCUGACUUGGGAUUAGGGAAACCAAUAGUGAAAAGAUUACAUAAUGGGUGAAUUCGUUCAUUCUGGUAUUCAUUUUUCCUUUUUUUUUUUCAUCUUUUUCUCUGGUUUAUUCUAUAAGAAAAGGAAAUUAAAGAGCGAUUUGCAUGAAAGGGAGAAUCUAAUAUGUUGGCCUAAAUAAUUGAGAAGAAAAAUGGUAAUCUUUCUAACUUUUUCAUAGCCUUCGAUCAAAGAAAAAGGACAAUCUCAGAAUUUCAACAUAAUUUAUUGUGAAUUGUAAUGGUUUAAGUAGUAGUUAGCAUUUAUAAGUCCUCUACAUGCAUAUAAAUUAAGGUUUUAUUACAUAUGUAUGUAUUUGUUUUGAUCUUUAUAUUGUUAUCAUGCUUAGGUAACCAAGAAGGAGAAGGCCUAAGGGAUAAAAGGAAGGCUAAGCAGGUGUAAGUUGUGUCAACUCCAAGUAUUUUGCUAGUGAGUUUUCUGAACUCAAAUCAUCGGUGUUGUAUUAUGUAUAUGUAACGGCCCAACUUUUAGUGGUGUCGGAAACAGUGGUUCGAGACCACAAAAUCCCACGAGUGAGCUCAUGAAUUUUAUUAUUUAAUAUUUACGAGACAAAAAUAAUUUUAGGAGAAUUUUUAAAAUAGUAAAUUGUGUGUUAUAAGAAUUUAUUAAGUUAUGUGGUUUAGAAAACGAGGUAUCGAGCCCUCGAUUUUAUAAAUCGAGCCAUAAUUAUUUUUAUAAAUAUUUACUGAGUGUCAUUAAGUUAGUAUUAAAGUAUCGUUAGAAAAUUUUAACGUUUUGGUAGUUAAUUUAUUAAAAAAGACUAAAUUGUAAAAGGUGCAAAACUUGUUAAUUAAAGAAACAGUGAUUAAAUAGCUCAAGUGAUAAAUAAGGAAGGACUAAAGGGAAAAUUUCCACACAAACGAUAGCUGAGGCGGCAUAAGCAGAGAAAUAACAAGUUAGUGUGAACUAAGGGUAAAAUUGUAAUUAAAGUACAAUUAGGAAAAAUAAAACAAAUAAGUGGUUGGAAGAUUUUCUAGACAUUUCUUCAUCAAUCUUUAGCCAAAAAUAGCCAUAGGAGAGAUUCUAAAGCUAGUUUUUCAUAUUUUUACUUCAUGUGAGUUCAAUUCUUAUUUAUUUCUUGUAAUUUUUAUGUUUUCGAGACUUUUACAAUUAGGUCCAACUAUCUAUUUCAUUAUUUUUUGAUUUUAUGGGUAAUUUUGAAAGUUACCAUUGAUGAUUGCUGGAUUUAGAGUUUUAAUUUUAUUAUAUGAUGAUUUUAUCAAGUGAUUUCAAUAUAAAUUGAUUUUAGGACUAAAUUGUGAAGAAUUUAAGAAUUAGGGUUUGCUAUUAAAUUUUUAUGUAUCAAAGGCUGUAAGAUAGCCUAGGGUACUUAGAUAAAUUUUCAAUUAAGAAAAAUUAGUUCAUUUGGUAGACUAAUUAAUAAGGGACUAAAUUAUAAAAAAUUAUAAAAAGUUGGGGUAAUUUUGUAAUUUUAAAAUUGAGGGGUAUUAAUUGUGAAGUGAAUUGAAAUUGAAAUAUAUACUAAUGAAUGAAUAAUUUUACAUUUUAGCUUAAGAGCUCGUAGAUAAUUUUGAAAAAGGGAAAUUAGCGAAAUUGUCCCUAAACUACUACAAUUUCUACAAUUUGACCCAGGUAAGUUCGUGUGGUUAAAAUUUAAUGUUAUUUUUUAAUUUGAUGAAUGGUAAUAUGUAUUUAUUUAUAUCAUUUGUUGAAAAUAAAAUUAUUGCUAAAGCUAUGACAUUGAAAUGAAUAUUCGAAAUGAACGGAACGCGAGAUUGAGUACAGUUGUUUAGUGCAAAGGAGGAAUUGACGGUAAAUUAUCCAAGUAAAAUGAGGUUCAGCAUUUGUUGCGAAGUUUCGUGUUUACUUUUCGUUUCACUCUCAUGAGCUUCAGUUAACUCAUAUGAGUUUUCGUUUAACCCUAAUGGGUUUCAGUUUAGCUCUUUUGAGCUUUAGUUUAACCCUUAAGGGUUUUUGUUCAGCUCUUAUGAGCUUCCGUUCAACCCUUAUGGGUUUCUAUUUAGCACUUAUGUGCUUCUGUGCAGCCUUCGGGCUUCUGUAUACGAUGUACUCAUAUCCGUAAGAUGCUCUCUGAAUUUUUAAGAGUUGGUAAGUGACGUAUGAAAUUUAUGUUUGAAGAUUUAAAGUUAUUAUUGCUAUCAAUUUGAAAUAAGUGAAUUCGUUAAUUGAAGUUGUGUUUGGCAGGAAUGGUAUAUUGAAUGAUUUACUUAAAUGAAUUGUUAUAUUAUGUUCGGUAAGAUUUAUGUUUAAAAGUCAAUGAACUUAUUGAGUUUCAUUAAGCUUACUUGUGUUGUUUAAUGUUCUUUGUAGAUUAUUGAGAAGUUGGGAGGUCAGAUCAACACAUCAAGCCACACUAUCCAACUUGUUCCAGUAGCUUUUGCAACGUAUAAUUGGUUUAUAUGGCAUGUAUAGGGCUGAAUUGGUUUGUGUAAAAGUUUAAAAUUACAUUUUGUUUAUACUUCCAAUUAAUUUAAGUAUGUGUGGUUUAAUCAUGUUGAUAUAUGUGUUUGGAUUAGUUAGGUGAUGGAUAAAUCAUAGUUAUAUGAGUGAAUUGAUUAAUGUGGUAAAUUAGAAUGUUAAGAUAUAUGUGAUAAUAUGACAAUGUUAGAGCUAGGAAUUGGUUGUUUUAAAGGCAUUGUUAUGGCCUAUAGGUAUGGAAUUUGAGAUGUUUAAGUUGAAGUCAAGAAUGGGUGAGAAAUGUGGCCAUAAAAUGACCUAUUUUUAUCCACACGGGUAGAGACAUGGGCGUGUGUCUCAACUGUGUGUGACACACGGCGUAUCACAUGGGCAAGUGGUCUGGUCGUGUGUCCCAUACAUUUUAAAAUUUCAAAAUAGAAUGCUCAUGUUUUUGCACACGGCCUAGCAAACAGGUGUGUGGCUUGGCCGUCCUGCACCUUACACACGGGCGUGUGAUUUGGAAAUGUGACACAAGUCAGAGAGUUACACGGAUAAGAACACAGGCUGGGACACGGCCGUGUGCCUUACAUUGUAUGCCCACACUGCCGCCCACACGGGCAUGUGUCUACUUCUAAGAAAAUUUUUGAGAUUUUGGGAAAAAUUCCCUAAGUAUCCAGUUUAGUCUCGAUUCACUUUUAAGGUGUAUAUUGGGCCUCAAGGGCUCAUACAAGGGACAAUAUGAAUAUUUUAUAAUUGGUUUCUGAUAAGUAUAUUAAAUGUCGUGAAAUAUUCGUAUUUAAUCCGUAAAGUUUGGUAAUGCUCUGUAACCAUGUUCUAGUGACUGAUAAGGGUUAGGGGUGUUACAGUAUAUCAAUAUUGUGUUGUUGUUGUAUGUUUGUUUCAUGUUCUACUGAUGAUGAGGGGUUGAAUUAUUGUGGGAUGUUAUCGUAUUUUUGAAUCAUGCAAAGUGAUGAUCUAUAGAUGCAUGUCUGGUUGUAUGUACAAGUUUCUUAUUUGAUGAACUGUCACUGGCAAACUAAUUUCUAAAGAGAUUAUCAUUGAUAUGAUCUGAUAGGUGAUAUGUUGGCAUGAUCUGUAUUGUAUUUUUAAUAGUAUGUUUAGUUGAGUGCUUGUUAUAUUGUUAGUCAUGAAAAUAAAUGUAUGCGGAGUAUAGAGGUAUGUAAUAGAGGAUGAAAGAUGAAGAAAUGUCAUAUUGUGAACCUUUUGCCACAUGUUCUUAGUUUUGCGGAGGUUCGAUUGGAUUGUACGGAGAUAUAUGCCCACAUGUAUGUGAUAACCCUAUGUGGGUUCUUUCAAAUAUAAGACUCUGUGGAGUCUAAGGGCUAAAGCCGCAUGUUUAUAAGCAAGUCCAUGGCUAUGGCGUAUGAAAUUUAUGGAAGCCCACCAGACUUGUUCUCUAGGUUUUAUGUCAAAGUUAUUUGUGGGACUUCACCAUACAAAGUCUGUGACAUAGUUCGUAUGUAUAAUUCCCCAUAUCUAUAAAUUUUCUUCUAUGAAUUCACAAGUAUAAGACCGUCAUAACUAUAAAUAUGCUUCUAUGAAUCCGCAUGUCUAAGUUUGCCAUAUCUAUGAAUCUUCUUUUAUGAAGUCACAUGUAUAAGUCUACCAUAUCUAUGAAUUCUUCUUCUACGAGUUCGCAUGUAUGAGUUUGCUUAUAAAAGUCCGCAUCUAAAAAUCCACAAAAAAGUGUCCACAGGAUUGUUGACCAAGUAAUCCAAAUUUACUCUCUCCUCGAUAGGUUUUCUUCUAAGAUUAUAUGCAACAAGUCUGGACGAAGAGACUAUAUGCUUUAUGAUCUUUCAUAGAAGGAAUUCUCAUACAUUAAGUAUUGUGCCUCUAUAUUGUUCAAACCUAAGCACAAGCUAUGGAAUAUGAUUACACAAGUUUCGUCUAAGUGAAUUCUGUAACAAAUUUUUAAUUUUGAAAUAAAAAGGGAAGUAACUUUAUUUUAGAAUUAACUGAGUUCCUUAUGAACUUACCAUGUUUCAGGUAAUCUAAACCGUUGUUCGUAGGAACAAGGGAACUAAGCCAGAAUCCUUGAAGUCUAGUAUGAGCACGUCACCUUUCGUUUUGUAACAUGUGUACAUACUAGGACAACUUGUAACCCUAAACUUCUGUUUUGCAUAUGAAUAAGAACUUUUUAAAUUUAGUUCAAUUUGUAAUUUGACGCAUAAGGAUAAAUUGACAGUUCCCUAUAAAAAGAUAAAUAUUAUUAAAAGUUUGUUUUUAUAUAUAUAUAUAUAUAUAUAUAUAUAUAUAUAUAUAUAUUAUAUAUUGUGAUUUCACGGUAAAACACUAAGGAACUGUUGUAUGGUUAUUAAAUUAUUUUGUAUAUGUUGAUAGUUGAAAUCUCGAAGGGUCAUCAUUCGACCCAUCAACUGAGUGUUACAAUUGCUAUUGAAUUGGAUUAGAUAAAAAUUAAUAUUGAUGGAACAAUCGAAAAGGCACUACGACUUCUGUACAUAGGAGGAGUACUUCGCAACUCAAACCAUAUUUGGAUUGUUGGUUUCAAUAGAAAUGAGAGAAUUUGUUUGAUCACCCAAAUAAAUUGUGGGCAUCUUACAAUGGAUUAAAUCUAACAUGGGAGAUAAUUAAUUAAUAUUAGCAUGAGAGAUAAGCUUCAGGAAAAUCGUGCUUAAGACAAGUGACUAAUCAAUAGUAAAUAUGCUUAAUGGAAUGACCAUAUAUGCCAAUAGAAUUUCCUUAAAAGCGUCUAGGAAUUGAAGAAAAGACAAUGAGAUGUGAAUAAGCAAAUUUAAUAGUUAAAUACACGGCGAGGAACUUCAACGAUGAUUCAUAACAAGUUUGUGUCUUUUCUGCCCCACUGAUUACUGUUUGACACAAGUUACUUAGUGAUAGUAUGGGGAUUUCAUAUGAGAGAAAAUGUUUUUAAAUUUAGUUUGUUGUAACUUACUAGGGAUGAAAAAAAAAACCCCCCAAAUCCAAUGGGACUUGAUUCUUUAGGGUCAAUUUUUAUUUUUAUUUUGAAAAAUCAAGUUUAGGGAGAGUCAAAUUGGGUGAAAUUAGUAAAAUAGUAGAGUGAGGUUUGAGGUAAACCCGCCCCCAGAUAUAAACGAAAAUACCCCUAAUAUAUACACAUAUAUUUAGUUGUUGCUUUGAACAAAUAAACAUAUAAAUAUAUUAAGUUUUAAGUCUAAACCCAAAAAUAAAAUCUUAUUUGCUUCAAAAUUAAAAGUAAAACAAUUAUAGAUGUAUUCUUAUUUGCUUUAAAAUAAAAAUAAAACAAUUAAAUUAAAUUUAAAUCGAGACAAGGAGGGGCGGAAUCAGGUCUUCUAUUAAAUUUCAGGUUCGAGUUCGAGCAAUUUUUUUCGUAAGAGUCGGGGUCGAGCAAACUUCAAUUCAUGUCAAGCAAGUUUCCAGACGAAACGAGAAAAAGUCUAUCUCGUCCCGCCCCAUUGCCAUUCCUAUAACUUAGGGCUUCGCCCUUUUCCUAAUACCAAAUUUUUUUUCAUAAUUUUGACCUUUUUUAUACAAUUCAAGUUCAAUCUCACACAACCAUAUACACAGGCUACACUACACUACUCUACCACACAGGGAAACCUAUGAAUCAAACAUUGUAUCGAGCAUUGAUGAACCCACUUCAGCAAAUGGGCCUACUACUUGGGUUCAAUUCUUACCUAUUUAAUCUAAUUGAUUAUUUGAAAAAUAAUAUCAAAACAAAAAUAAUAUAUCCAUUAAUAUGACGCAUAAUUGUGCUCAUUUCAACUCUUCAAUUUUUUUAAUUGUGGCCAGAUGAAAGUGAAGAAAAGUAUGAUUGGAGGGGGAAAAGUGGAUAAACUGAGUACAUCUGUAACUAAAUUUAACAUAAAAUGUUAAAGUAAAUCAACUGCUAGUUGCAAACAGAAGAAACGAGAGCAAUGUACAAAGACAAAGCAAACAAGACAAUGCACAAUGUUGGCAAUUUAAGGUAUAUGUUCAGCAUAACAAUAACUAGUUUACUUUUAACUUCUGUUGUUUUCAAGUCACCAUAUUUUGUUUAUUCAACCUUAGACACACAACAGAAAAAAGGUUUGAUAAGUUCUAAGUUUAACAUACCAAACAUGAAACGAUGUGGAUUAGCAGUACUUAAUAACAAAACGGCAAUGCUGAAAGAUAACACGCGCUUAAUUGUCACACACUUCUAGUUCUUAAC
rnacentral:lncRNA from 1 species